GUAGGUGAACCUGCGGAAGGAUCAUUAUUGAAUUUUGAAGGAGCUGUUUUGCUGGCCCUUUUAACCGGGCAUGUGCACGCUUCGCUCAAUUCCAUCUCCUUACCCCUGUGCACUCAUUGUAGGUCGGUCGGAAGGCCUUCCUAUGUCCUAUUAUAAAUAACCUCAUGAUUGUCGUGGAAUGCAUCGCGUGUAACGCAUCUUUAUACAACUUUCAGCAACGGAUCUCUUGGCUCUC
rnacentral:misc_RNA from 1 species